GGGGAGGCUGUUCCUUUGCUCAGUAUGCCCAUGCUUUUUUCCUUGUGAGCACAUCACAGCGGCUCUUUCUCACUCAGUUUUCUGCAGCAAUCUCUCUGCGUUUUUCCAGCUCAUCAGGACCACCCUCUGCUUUUCCAUGGAGGUUGUAACUGUACCCAUAUCAUACAAUCUGAUACAAGGAGAGCAACUGCUGUAUUUAUCAGCUUAGCGAGGGUGACUCACUCCACAGCAUCCAGUACCACUUCAAAUAUGAAAGCAUUGGUUCUUAUCUAUAUUUAACAGUAGUCUGUCCUUGCAGUCCAUCUAGAAUUCCUUUUCCAGACCCUGCCAGCCUGUUCAACAUACCUUGUUUACAGUCAGGGUACAGUCACAAUUGGGUAACGAAACUGUUGGAGCUACACAAGUGGUAUGGUUAUAGACUUCAUAUCCCACAAUGGAUUUCCAAACACACAACAGUCUUCCAUGGUGCAGCAAUUUUCAUUGCAGUGGCUUUGAAACCAAGCAGAAAGAACAGUGAUUACUUUCAACAAAUACAAUAUAGAGGAACCUCCUGA
ensembl:lncRNA